CAGGUGCUGCAUGGCUGUCGUCAGCUCGUGUUGUGAAAUGUUGGGUUAAGUCCCGCAACGAGCGCAACCCUUAUCCUUUGUUGCCAGCGGUUAGGCCGGGAACUCAAAGGAGACUGCCAGUGAUAAACUGGAGGAAGGUGGGGAUGACGUCAAGUCAUCAUGGCCCUUACGACCAGGGCUACACACGUGCUACAAUGGCGCAUACAAAGAGAAGCGACCUCGCGAGAGCAAGCGGACCUCAUAAAGUGCGUCGUAGUCCGGAUUGGAGUCUGCAACUCGACUCCAUGAAGUCGGAAUCGCUAGUAAUCGUGGAUCAGAAUGCCACGGUGAAUACGUUCCCGGGCCUUGUACACACCGCCCGUCACACCAUGGGAGUGGGUUGCAAAAGAAGUAGGUAGCUUAACCUUCGGGAGGGCGCUUACCACUUUGUGAUUCAUGACUGGGGUGAAGUCGUAACAAGGUAACCGUAGGGGAACCUGCGGUUGGA
rnacentral:rRNA from 2 species